rnacentral:lncRNA from 1 species
GGAACGGAGAGAACUCCAAACCUGAAGGGGACAAAUGGUGGCGCUGGGAGGGAGCGGGCUCCAGACCCGGACCAGGGGUCCUCACGUGCUCAAUUAGGACCGUCCCAGACUAAAAACCCGGCUGCAAAGUGAGAGGUUCCUCACUGCUUUCCUUCCCAUCUUCUAAACUAUAAUUUCUCCCCAGCUGGAAAGGGGGAAAAGUAAUCAUGGGAAGCCCCUAAUGCAGAAACCUUUCUGGACACCUUUCAGCCCAGACACCCCUUUAGCAUGCCUUGCAUACAGUAAGUGCCUAAUCAUUGUCCAGUUCUUCGGCGUCUCCGACAGACUGCCCUUUGCAAAGUGGUUCUGGUUUCUCCCUCCCCUCCAAGACGCGGGAACAAAAAUCUUAGGGUGAGCGGAGUAGGUCAAGCCGGACCCUGCCAUGGAAACUUGGGCGGUGAAGGGGAACCCUUGCACAAGCCCGCCCUUGCACAAGCCCGCGCGCCACCCUCGGAAUCUCCUUUUCAGCGUUCUGGACCGUUGGCCGGUCCGGGGGUCAGUCCCCAGACCGGACAGAGGUGUCCGGGAUGGAGCUGGGAACGGGGGGACUCCCGCUAAGUUGAGGAAGAUCGGGGAGCGAAGCAACCACUGGGACAGCCGGGACUCGGAAGUCUAGAGAAAGAGCUCCGAGGAGCUGUCCCUCUUCGAGUUGCCCGGCUCGGUUCUCGGCUCUCCCAGCUCCCGGGAGGGCUUCGACAGGGAGCCAGCUGCGGGGGAGGGGGCCGGGAGGGCGGACUUACGUUGGCCGAAGGUCCCGUCUAAGUGAGGAAGUGAGGCGCUUCUCCGCUCCCGGGGGUUCGAGGCAGUCGGAGGACCAGGACACCUGCUCGUCUCGGGGUGCGGGGAGCUUCCGCCGGACCCACGGUCACCGGAGCCGCCGAGCUCGGCCUUCCCUCGGAAGAAGCUGCUGGAAGGAGCUGGGGCAGGAGCCAGCAGACCUCGGCCACCAGCCCCCCACCCCCCACCCAGACCAGAGUCUGACCUCAGAACCUCGUAGCCCCGCUCUGCCGAAUGGCCACACAGAGCCAGGUUGCGCGCGCUCGUGGUCGCUGCACACCUGUUGGAGGUCCGACAAACCUGGUAUAAAGUCCAGAUUUGGGGAAGCUGCCUGAGCUCGGGAGCACAAAACUACAACUCCCAGAAUGCUGCUCGCGCGAGGACACUCACUUAACUGAAAAAGCAAAGUUUGUGUGAACACUUCCACUCAAAAUAUCUCAAGUUUUCCUCUCUCUUCACCAGAAUGUGCCAGCAGUUCCUUGCCUUAAAGAUGGUGGGUGGGUGGUCCCGAAGUGGGGCUAAGUCCUUUGAGGUCAGGUUGUCGGCUGUCUUUUAUUUUCUUAAUUUCUGUAGUCCCAGCACCCAAGACAAUGCUUUGCACAUACUACUAGGCACUUAAUAAAAUGGUGGUUGGAUUGGUCCGAAUAGUCUUUUUUUUUUAAUCUUAAUAAUAACGGCCACUCGUAAACCAUUUGGAGGUUUUCAAAACCCUUAACACAAAUUACCUAUUUCAUUUCCACAAUAAACAUAGGGAUUUUUUUUCUCAUUUUAAAGAUAACAGGUUCAGAGAGGUGAAGAAGUAACUUCCUCAAAUCACACAGCUACUCAAUUUCUGAGGUCAGAUCUUAAUCCUGGUUUUCUAGAAGUCAGCUCCACUCUUCAUAUCCUACACACACACACACACACACACACACACACACACACUCUCUCUCUCUCUCUCUCUCUCUCUCUCACACACACACACACACACACACACACUCUCACACUCACACUCACACUCACACUCACACACAUACUCAACACUCCAUAUCAGAUUUUGACUUUUUGAAGAUCCGUGGAUCAAAGGAUUCUACUUGAAAUCAGUAAGACUCAUCUCCCAUAGUUAAGACUCCCUCAGACACUUAUUAGGGGCAAGUCCCUUAACCUCAGUCUCCUCAUCAAUAAAAUAAACUGAAGGCUGACGCACCACUCCAUUCUCUCUUCCAAGAAACCCCCUGACUCUCAGAGAGUCAGAUACAAUCUAACAACUUGUUUUGUUCCAUGACUGGAACAUAUUUCAUCCAAAAGAUACUGCCUUUCAUUGCAAGUUGUGCUCAGCCACAGCCAGACACACUGUAACUUGACUUUUAACAUAAUGUUACUGUGAUUCUCUUCAAGAAUGAGGGACAACAACCUAACCUAAUUUAUGCAGGAAACACACAAAAAGCAAUGUUCUAUUUGCUUAUCUGAAGGAAAGUGACUCUAAAAAGCUACUAAUAAAGAAAAUUA